ACUCCUACCGGGAGGCAGGCAGGUGGGGUAAGGUAAUUGCAUCAAUGGGGGAAACCCGGUAGCAUGCAGCCAUGCCGCGUGUGUGAAGAAGGCCUUCGGGUUGUAAAGCACUUUCAGUAGGGAGGAAGGUAGUGUAGUUAACACCUGCAUUAUUUGACGUUACCUACAGAAGAAGCACCGGCUAACUCCGUGCCAGCAGCCGCGGUAAUACGGAGGGUGCGAGCGUUAAUCGGAAUUACUGGGCGUAAAGCGCAUGCAGGCGGCCUGUUAAGUCAGAUGUGAAAGCCCGGGGCUUAACCUCGGAAUUGCAUUUGAAACUGGCAGGCUAGAGUCUUGUAGAGGGGGGUAGAAUUUCAGGUGUAGCGGUGAAAUGCGUAGAGAUCUGAAGGAAUACCAGUGGCGAAGGCGGCCCCCUGGACAAAGACUGACGCUCAGAUGCGAAAGCGUGGGGAGCAAA
rnacentral:rRNA from 1 species